rnacentral:rRNA from 1 species
CCUACGGGUGGCAGCAGUGGGGAAUAUUGGACAAUGGGGGCAACCCUGAUCCAGCCAUGCCGCGUGUGUGAAGAAGGCCCUCGGGUUGUAAAGCACUUUCAGUGAGGAAGAACGCCUGGUGGUUAAUACCCAUCAGGAAAGACAUCACUCACAGAAGAAGCACCGGCUAACUCCGUGCCAGCAGCCGCGGUAAUACGGAGGGUGCGAGCGUUAAUCGGAAUUACUGGGCGUAAAGCGCGCGUAGGUGGCUUGAUAAGCCGGUUGUGAAAGCCCCGGGCUCAACCUGGGAACGGCAUCCGGAACUGUCAAGCUAGAGUGCAGGAGAGGAAGGUAGAAUUCCCGGUGUAGCGGUGAAAUGCGUAGAGAUCGGGAGGAAUACCAGUGGCGAAGGCGGCCUUCUGGACUGACACUGACACUGAGGUGCGAAAGCGUGGGUAGCAAACAGGAUUAGAUACCCUAGUAUC